CUCCAUUUUUGGGGUCCACACCUGUCCGGGCUCACAGGUACCAAGUCCUUUCACCUGGGGCUCAGGUGUCACAGUCCAGGUGUUGCUGCUGCACCUUUCUGGGUUCCAUAGAAGAUUUCUGAGUUCCACACCUGUCUGGGCUCACAGGUACCAAGUCCUUUCACCUGGGGCUCAGGUGUCACUGCCCAGGUGUUGCUGCUGCACUUUUCUGGGUUCCAUAGAAGAUUUCUGAGUUCCACACCUGUCUGGGCUCACAGGUACCGAGUCCUUUCACCUGGGGCUCAGGUGUCACAGUCCAGGUGUUGCUGCUGCCAUUUUGGGGUCCACAGGAGAUUUUUGGGUUCCACACCUGUCCAGGUGUGCAGUUCUGGAGU